AGGUGAUUAGUCCAAGGAAAGACUGCUGAUUUCGGCUCAGUGGAUUGUGGUUCAAGUCCACAGUUGCCUU
rnacentral:tRNA from 1 species